GACGAACGCUGGCGGCGUGCCUAAUACAUGCAAGUCGAACGCAGUGGGGACGGGUGAGUAACACGUGGGUAACCUCCCAUCAGAGGGGAUAACACUUGGAAACAGGUGCUAAACCGAUACUGAUGGAUGGAACCGCGGUGCAGUAGCUAGUUGGUUAGGUAACGGCCCACCAAGGCCACGAUGAAUAGCCGACCUGAGAGGGUGAGCGGCCACACGGGGACUGAGACACGGCCCAGACUCCUACGGGAGGCAGCAGUGGGGAAUAUUGCACAAGGGGCGCAACCCUGAUGCAGCCAUGCCGCGUGAGUGAUGACGGCCUUCGGGUUGUAAAGUACUUUCAGCGGGGAGGCGUUACCCGCAGAAGAAGCACCGGCUAACUCCGUGCCAGCAGCCGCGGUAAUAC
rnacentral:rRNA from 1 species